rnacentral:piRNA from 1 species
UGACUCAAGUUGUGCAGUUGGUUGAACGC